rnacentral:rRNA from 1 species
UACGUAGGGGGCAAGCGUUGUCCGGAAUCAUUGGGCGUAAAGCGCGUGUAGGCGGCUCGAUAAGUCUGCUGUGAAAGUCCAGGGCUCAACCCUGGGAUGCCGGUGGAUACUGUCGAGCUCGAGUCCGGAAGAGGCGAGUGGAAUUCCUGGUGUAGCGGUGAAAUGCGCAGAUAUCAGGAGGAACACCAAUGGCGAAGGCAGCUCGCUGGGACGUGACUGACGCUGAGACGCGAAAGCGUGGGUAGCGAACAGG